AUGUCACUGGAUCCCAGUUUGAAGAUGCCAAGUUUAAAGCAGCAAGUCUCUUGUCUGAAUUAUACCGUCAGGAGAUUAGAGUGUUUCCUUUCAGAACUCAGUCAACACCAUGAAGUCCCUGGUACAGAAAGCAGUCCAGAUGUCCCCACAGGCCCCUACUGGCCCUGCUGCCUGUCCUUCCAACCAGCCGUGAGUGCCACCGCAGCAUCCACUGGGCCUGCCCUGGGCCGCACACCAAGGGCAGAUGGUUGUGAGGUCUGGCUGAUGCCGAGUGGGCGGGAAAACCAGGACAUGGCCUGGACCCUGGUUGUGAAGGCCCUACAGCCUCAGACCCUGAGGCAGCCCCACCAGGCCUGGCUCUCCGUGCCCUUGACCAGAAGCCCACAGGGCCCGUGUGUGGAUGGCUAUAUGGCUGCCAUGCUGACCUGUGUCCAUUUAAAUUCCAGUGCCUCUCUGGCCAGCAGCCUGCUGGGCUUUAUGAGAUCUGCCCUUGGGUCCCCAGGGGCUCACCCUGAGGUGGGCUUUGUCCCCCACAACCCAUGGCUGCCAUGUGGCCCCCAACCCAUCUUCCCUUCAGCCCCCAGACCUGAGGGCAUGUUCUGGGCCCUGUACUCUGAGACUGGGGGUGGGGUCAGUUUUCUGUCUUCACGGCAGCAGGGGAAGGACCCAUGUCCAGUGGAGCGGGCAGGACAGGGCUGCCCUUCCGAGCCGGCUCUGCUCCCCUGCCCACUGGCUGCCAUCUUGGCCAGCACAUCCACCAGCCCAAUAAAUACCUUAGGGCCCUUUUAUUAGUCAGCCCAAGGGGUGCUGAUGCAGAAUACAAGAUAUUGGUUGGUGAAAGUGGGAGGAUUGCAUCCAGCAUCCAUGUGGAAUCUGAGCCUCCUCUUGACAUAGAGGUGCAAUGGACACAACCAAUCCAAUGUCCACAUAGAAAAGGUGGCAUUGGAUUGGGAAAAGUGGACAUGGUGGCUGAUGGGUAUGGGGAAAGGCAGGAAGAGAUGAGAGGUGGAGGCCUCUUUGGGACAUGGAGCUGCCCUGGAUGGUGCUUCAGGGGCAAUCACCGGACAUUGUAAAUCCUCACAGGGCCCACUGGAUGGAAUGGG
rnacentral:lncRNA from 1 species